rnacentral:rRNA from 1 species
CCUACGGGUGGCAGCAGUGGGGAAUAUUGGACAAUGGGGGCAACCCUGAUCCAGCCAUGCCGCGUGUGUGAAGAAGGCCCUCGGGUUGUAAAGCACUUUCAGUGAGGAAGAACGCCUGGUGGUUAAUACCCAUCAGGAAAGACAUCACUCACAGAAGAAGCACCGGCUAACUCCGUGCCAGCAGCCGCGGUAAUACGGAGGGUGCGAGCGUUAAUCGGAAUUACUGGGCGUAAAGCGCGCGUAGGUGGCUUGAUAAGCCGGUUGUGAGAGCCCCGGGCUCAACCUGGGAACGGCAUCCGGAACUGUCAAGCUAGAGUGCAGGAGAGGAAGGCAGAAUUCCCGGUGUAGCGGUGAAAUGCGUAGAGAUCGGGAGGAAUACCAGUGGCGAAGGCGGCCUUCUGGACUGACACUGACACUGAGGUGCGAAAGCGUGGGUAGCAAACAGGAUUAGAUACCCGAGUAGUC